CCAAAGGCUCUUUUCAGAGCCACUUCAGUUGUUGGAAAAGCAGCUGU
rfam:Myotis lucifugus cont2.30069, whole genome shotgun sequence.